CCCUUAGAUGUUCUGGGCCGCACGCGCGCUACACUGAUGCAUUCAACGAGUCUAAAACCUGGUCUGAUAGGGCUGGGUAAUCUUUUGAAUGUGCAUCGUGAUUGGGAUAGAUGAUUGCAAUUCUUCAUCUUCAACGAGGAACGCCUAGUAAACGCAAGUCAUCAGCUUGCAUUGAUUACGUCCCUGCCCUUUGUACACACCGCCCGUCGCUCCUACCAAUUGAAUGUUCCGAUGAAUACCAUGGACUGAGAGUAUGAAUGGGUUCGCCUAUUUCUGCUUCUCGGGAAGUGGAGUAAAUCUUAACAUUUAGAGGAAGGAGAAGUCGUAACA
rnacentral:rRNA from 1 species